rnacentral:rRNA from 1 species
UACGUAGGUGGCAAGCGUUGUCCGGAUUUACUGGGCGUAAAGAGCGCGCAGGCGGUCGUUCAAGUCGCGUGUGAAAGCCCCCGGCUCAACUGGGGAGGGUCACGCGAUACUGAUCGACUGGAAGGCAGGAGAGGGUAGUGGAAUUCCCGGUGUAGUGGUGAAAUGCGUAGAUAUCGGGAGGAACACCAGUGGCGAAGGCGACUACCUGGACCAAUACUGACGCUCAUGUGCGAAAGCGUGGGGAGCAAACGGG